rnacentral:rRNA from 1 species
AUUGAACGCUGGCGGCAUGCCUUACACAUGCAAGUCGAACGGUAACAGGUCUUCGGAUGCUGACGAGUGGCGAACGGGUGAGUAAUACAUCGGAACGUGCCUAGUAGUGGGGGAUAACUACUCGAAAGAGUGGCUAAUACCGCAUGAGAUCUACGGAUGAAAGCAGGGGAUCGCAAGACCUUGUGCUACUAGAGCGGCCGAUGGCAGAUUAGGUAGUUGGUGGGAUAAAAGCUUACCAAGCCGACGAUCUGUAGCUGGUCUGAGAGGACGAUCGACCAAACGGGGACUGAGACACAGCCCAGACACCUACGGGAGGCAGCAGUGGGGAAUUUUGGACAAUGGGCGAAAGCCUGAUCCAGCAAUGCCGCGUGCAGGAUGAAGGCCUUCGGGUUGUAAACUGCUUUUGUACGGAACGAAAAGCCCCGGGUUAAUACCCUGGGGUCAUGACGGUACCGUAAGAAUAAGCACCGGCUAACUACGUGCCAGCCGCCGCCGUAA